rfam:Capsicum annuum cultivar Zunla-1 chromosome 2, whole genome shotgun sequence
GGUUCUAUGGUGUAGUGGUUAGCACUCUUGACUUUGAAUCCAGCGACCUGAGUACGACUACCGGUAGGACCU